CUGGGAUCACACCCUGGGCCGAAGGCAGACACUUAACGACUGAGCCACCCAGGCGCCCCACCCAGCAGUUAAUCUGGGGGAGAAGUAGAACUGUGGGAGUCUCGUGUCCGACCUUGCCCUGGAGCCUUACAGCCAUGGCACUGCCAACACCCACAAGCACCGCUACUUGGCGGCAGGAAGCAAUCACAGUCAGGCGUGGAGCUGCUCCAGCUGAUGUCAUCUUCGUUCCCUCUACUGCACAUUUGCAAGGUUCACAGCUUUCCCAUUCAGGUGGAUGUUCCUCUGCUGAAGGCACCAGUGAAAGACCUCCUCUAAUUUCCUUCUGACUCUUCAGUGAGAAAGGACAGCCCUUGCCUGUGGGGGGGUGCCCUGGCAGCGGGGCACUCUCAGGCUGUGCCGGCAGGGCUAGAGUGAAGGUGCCUGGGCCUACGCCUCCUCAGCCUGCACCUGUGUCUCUAAACGGCCCACCUAUUUUGAAGACAGAUUUAUUAGACCUUCUGGAAGGAAUUCCUGAGCCCUUCAUCUGCACAUGUUUUCACUCUCUUAGCAAAGGCCACUCCUGUGAAUGGAAAGCAUAGCGUGGAAAACACGUUGAGGGAUGGGGUGAAGGGGGUGAGGGAAACAAUUUGGUCUUUCAACCUCCUGCCCCUUCACCUCAGACAUUGGUGGGGAGCCCUUGUGAUAUUGGGAGGUUAAGUGAUGCCAGCGCUGUUACUACGGCCACAUAGUGAUCUACUGGGACCAAGAGCGCAACUAUCAUUCUUCCCUCCCUGGACCCCUAGGAAGCAGAAGAUUUACAAGCUCCAGAGCUCUCUUCCCCAGAUGGAGGGCCUCCUCUGCUUGGCCUUCAGCUGAUCAUUUUUGUAACCUUGUUCCCUCGCCGCAGCGGGGUGUGCGGGGCCCCAUGUUCACCCCCAUCCCAGCGAUGGGAAAUCCACAGCUCCGUGCAAGGGGAUGGUGGGCAGGCUUCCCGGAUGACCGGCUCCCAGCACUGGUAGGAACGUCCUCUGCAGGGACAGUAUGGGAUGAGAAGGGAACUGAAAAGUCACUAAUAAGGUAAAAUGCCCAGCAUGGUGCCUGGAGCUUGUCAGCCACCAAAUUAUUAACAUCAUAUAAAAAGAUCCAAGUAGUGGGUGUUGCCCAUUAUAGACAGGGAGAGAAGCGGAGUUAACUAAGUGCAUAAGAAAAAUGCAAACGUUAUGGGCUGUAUGUGGCCUGCUCCCCUUUAUGGAUUUUUCCAAGAGCCCCAGUCCCCAGUUUCCCUGAGUUCUCUAUCUAGUAUAAUUUUAGUAGUAUCAAAUAAUGACAUUCUUAACCAUCUCUCUAGGGAGACUAUUCUAUCCUCCAGUAGAUCUCACCGUCAGGGAAUUUUUGUGGGUAACUAUUUAGCAACUUUUUUUUUCUCUGAAUUUCUUCCCACUGGAACUCUGAGUCUUGAAAAUGAACAAAUGGUGAAACACCCUUGUUCGAGUGUGACCCUCAAGAUGCCAGAUGGCUGCCAGUGACAUUGGUGGUAGGCAUGUCAUUGACUUGCUUCACCACCCAGUGAGAGACAUCCAUCAAACUGCCCUAGUGCCCAGGCCUCAGUUUCUUCGGGAGAAGUUGUAAAGAACGAAGGUGAAGUAACAAUCCCUUUAGUAUCCCUAUUCCUCUGGCUGGACUCAGCACCAAUCGGCACAACACUGCAUUCCGGCCCGGGAGCAUCACCCAGUGUCUGGGCCGCAGGUAUCCCAGACAGAGAAGUGCCCUUGGGUUUGUGCCUACCCUCUGUGACUUCUGCCACACAAGAAAAGGAGUCCCCCGAGGGGACUCCGACCAAAUUUACCAAGGUGGAGUGGAGUUUCCUGAACCACUGAAGAAAUAAGAAUCCUAAAAGGCCUUUUCAGAAAUUGAAUGACUCUUGAGAAAUCUCCUCACUUGACUGUUUUGCCCCAGGAAAAUUAACAUUGCAUUACCCUACCUACCCUCUCCUACCCUGUUUUGAAAAGCUGCAUCAUGAGCAGAGCAGGGAUUCCUGGUUGUCACCUCCUCCUGUCCCACCACGACUUCUGUCUUCCUAGCAAAAUGCAUCAAACACCUUGAGACAGGAGUGUUACAGCGCAGAUGUAUGGCACUGAAGACUGCAAGUUCCCUGACUUCGGGGGCUCCUACCUCAUUGAGAGAAUAAGACACAAAAACAGGUGCUUAUCCGGGAACAGCCCAGAAGGUCCUUGACUCCCCGUGUUGACUUUUUUGCAGUCCUCAGCACCGAGGCCCUUCAUGGCCUUUUCCAAAAGUGUUCAAAGGCCUCCAUUAUGCCCAACCAGCAUGGGUAGCCCUCCACCCUCGUUCCUUAGUGCACCUUAUACUUGAACCCUUCAUAGCCCCUCAGCCACAUUUUGAUCAAUGUUGCAGCUAAAUGUGCAAACCGUCACGCCAAUAUCUGACAGACCGUUGGGAGCCCCUGGCUGCCAGGCUGACUGUGAGGUCAGUGGCAAAACCCAGAAGGUGUUUGCUCAGUGCCUGCUUGGGGCUCCGGCCCUCUCCAUUCUCUGCCCGCAGACAUUCCCAUGCUGGCUGCUGUCCCUGGCCGCUGGGACUUCACCCUGCGUUUACACUGGUGCCAGACAGAAGGGAGCUGGGGAGGGCUCCCAGGAAGUCCCAAGACAACCACUACAUGGGAGAAAGAGCCGGUCUGUCAGCAACUCAGUGGCUGCUUUGUUGGUUCCUCGCUCUGCCAGGAUGCCCCAUUCUGAGCUAAUGAACAGCUUAAGUGUGCAGAUGAGGAGAAAAGCGGGGAGUGUAAGCCCUGAUCGUGAAACAAUGUCAGCAAUACAGGAGGCUGCCUGAGUGGGAAAACAGCUCGACCUAAAGAGUCCUUUCAGAUGCCCAGUUUUGUUCUGAAGUUGCCUGUCCGCUUGUCUCCUCUUGUUUUUCUUUUUGCUUUUAAAACCAUUACAAUCAAGCAUUUAUGAAAUAUUGAGGCCAGGGGAAGUACUUCUAUGAGCUAUUCAAGCCCAAAAGCCUCAAAGAAGGAGGAUGGGAUGCUGAUGGUCUAAUUGAUUUUCUUCUGGAAUAAAAUUAAAAGGAAGGCAGAGAGUAGCAAACAGCACUCACCUUUAUUGCACGCCUUGGAGCUUGGUAAAUAGAGGGCAAUGCUUCAGUGUUUGGUUUAGGGUGAAGGAGGAGGGUUAUUAUGAGAAAAUGAAAAACAAUUAAGUUGUGGGCGAGCGGGGGUGGGGGUGGGGUGAGAGGCGGCGGUGGCUGGGUGAGACUCCAACCAGGCUGCUCCAAGGAGGCCCUGCCUCUGGCGUCUGGCACCGAGGCUGGGGGACAGCCUGCUUUUCCUCUGAAAAGUGUGGCCCCUCUUUGACUCCUGGCCUCUGCCCUCAGGCCUGUGGGGCCAGGCGUUUCCCUGGUAGAAUGUAAACGAACCAGAGUCCUCUCCCUGCGAUGGCUUGAAAUGAGAAGCCAUUUCUUCCCCAUUAACUAGAAAAAGCCCACCCCUGUGAAACCUUGUUCCCAAUGCCUGUGCACUGCUAAUGGAAUUUUUAACUCGACCUAACUGCACCUGAAGGUAAUCAGCUCUGGGCCAGUUGUGCAUUCGAAGUCCCUGUCAAGCUGACAGGAGGGCAGAAUUAGAUGGUUUGAUAACAUUUCUCUCCAGGGGACCAUUUCAGCAGUGGUGGGGCAGGAGCCCCCGGGAAGGCUUUGUCCCAUUCUCCCCGCUCCCCCUACCAAGAUAGGGUGACGCGCCCCCAACUCCCGUCCUGAUCUGGGUGCCCUGACCUCAGGGAACUGGGUUCUGGUUUUCAGAACAUUAUUUAGGCAUUUUUCCCCCAGGGGGACAGAAAGUGUUGAGGUUCAUGGUGUUAAGAUAUGGCUCUGCCCUGCGAAACCUUCUUCAAACAAGGGUGUAUUUCUAGCAGGAAGCAAUUUGUACAUUCCAAUUUUCUGUAUUCACCCCAACUCUUGAGUCAUAGAACAUUUUUAAAACAGUGCCCAGUCUUUGAAAAUGCCAGCCAGGUAUUUUGAAGUUGCUUUGUACUCUUAGCAUGUGACAGAAUCUUCACGCAGGGAACUUUCAAGAAGCAAGAAUUUCAAGUAAAAGCCUGAGGCAAUUUUAAGAGGGACACUCUCUAGUCAUUUGGGUAACUUUCCUCCCUCUUUCUCUCUCUCUUCUGUUUCUAAUUCCAUCUUAGAAGCUUGAAAAUACAAUUUUUUCCCUUUACCAAUUUUGUGUUUUUCUAUUUGGCAAACAUUGAUUCUUUUCUGUGUCCCAAAUGGAGGUGAAAUUAACUUGUCUGUCUGUUUCUUAAACAAAAAUAAAUAAACAACUUCAGUAUGUAUAGUCCCAGAUCCUGCCAAACGCCUUUUGCGGUAUGCCAAUGUCACCGAGGAAUGUCAGCUCAGCACCAUGAUUAGCAUUUUACAAUUGCUCCAGAGCCAAAUGUUGAGAGAAUAACAAAUGCUGUUUUGUGCCCCAUGAAAAUUACAGUUGAAGAAAGGGAAUUUUCCACUCAUAUAGCAAGAAAUUAAAAAUAGGAGUCCAGGAGACUAGGAUCCAGAUGACUUUCUUUCUUAGGUAACUAAUUUUAAGAUCAAAAUUGAGGUCUCAAAAAUGUAUAUAAGUUAAUUUCAUUUCGCUUUUUAAAAGCUUUCCUGUCUAAAGUUUUGUAUUAUGAGUUUACUCAAGGUGGAUUUUUUUAACCCCAUUUCCCAACUUAAAAAUGUAAUUGAUGUUAAUAAGGGAAAAGAUGAGCCACAGGUGAAGGAAAAUAUUUGCCUAACACAUCUGAUAAAGGACUUGUAUGUAGAAUGUAUAAAGAACUCUGACAAUUCAAUAAAAAGGCCAACAAACCAAUUAAAAGGGGGCCCCCAAAAAUGGAAAAGAUACUUCACCAAAGAAGGCAAACAAAUAGCCAAUCAGUGCAUGAAAAUGUGUUCAACACCAUUGAAUAUCAGGGAUGUGCAAAUUAAAAUUGAAAUGAGAUCUCACUACAUACCUAUUAGAAUUGCUAAAAUUAAAAAGAAAGACCAUAUCAAGUGUUGGUGAGGAUAUAGAGGAACUGGAACUUUCUCAUACCCUGCCAAUAAGAAUGCAAAAUCAUCCACCUACUUUGGAAAACUGCUCAACUGUUUCUUCAAAUGCUAAUUGCUUAUUCAUAAUUGGCCCAAAGAGAAAACAACCCAAACAUCAUUAACUGCUGAAUUAAUUCAGAAAUUAUGGUGUAUCCAUUCAAUGGAAUUCCAUGCAGCAAUAAAAAGGAAUGAAUUAACAACACACAGCAAUAUGGAUGUAUCUCAGAAAAAUCAUUCUAAGAAGCCAGAAGACACAGAAGACUAUACAAACUGAAUGAUUCCAUUAUUAUGACAUUCUAGAAAAGACAAAUUUACAUGGACAGAAAACUGAUUCCUAUAAUGAGGCACAAGGGAAGUUUUUGGCCUAAUGGAAAUGUUCUAUAUCUUGAUUGUGAUAGUAGUUAUACAACUGUGUACUCUUAUACAAGUCGUCAAGCUGUAUACUUUAAGUGGGUAAACUUAUUAUGUGUAAAUUAUACCUUGAUAAUUCUGACUUUAAAAAAAUAUUGUCAGGAUGCCUGGGUGGCUCAGUCCAUUGAGCGGCUGGCACUUGGUUUCAGCUCAGGUCAUGAUCUUGGGGUCCUGGAAUCAAGCCUCAUGCUCAGAGGGUACUCUGCGUGAGGAUUCUUUCUCUCCCUCUCCCUCUGUGCCCUCCUCACUCGAUGCACACUCUCCAAAAUAAAUAAAUGAAUCUUUAAAAAGGAAAAAAAGAAAUUGUCAAGACUAGGCAUGGUAGGCUGGGUAAUGGCCCCCAAAGGUACCCAUGUUCUAAUCCUUGGCACCCGUAAAUGUUGCCUUAUACAAUAAAAAAGAUCUUGCAGAUGUAAUUCAGUUGAGGAUCUUGAGAUGGGGUAAUUAUCCAUGGGGCCAAUCAUAAAUGUCCUUAUAAGAGGGAAGCAAAAGGAGAUUUGAAGAGAAGAAGACCAUGUGACAGGCAGAGUGCAGCGGAAUCCAAGAAGGCUUGGGAGAUAGAGGAAGAGGCUGCAAGCCAAGGAGUAAGCUUCCACAGCAGCUAGAAGAGGCAAGGAACAGACUCUCCCUUAGAGUGUGAUCCUGCCAACACCUCCAUUGGAGCCAGGUGAAACUGGUUCGGACUUCUGACCUCCACAACUAUAAGAGAAUAAAUUUGU